rnacentral:rRNA from 1 species
GACGAACGCUGGCGGCGUGCCUAAUACAUGCAAGUAGAACGCACAGUUUAUACCGUAGCUUGCUACACCAUAGACUGUGAGUUGCGAACGGGUGAGUAACGCGUAGGUAACCUGCCUGGUAGCGGGGGAUAACUAUUGGAAACGAUAGCUAAUACCGCAUAAUAUUGAUUAUUGCAUGAUAAUUGAUUGAAAGAUGCUAUUGCAUCACUACCAGAUGGACCUGCGUUGUAUUAGCUAGUAGGUGAGGUAACGGCUCACCUAGGCGACGAUACAUAGCCGACCUGGGAGGGUGGUCGGCCACACUGGGACUGAGACACGGCCCAGACUCCUACGGGGAGCAGCAGUAGGGAAUCUUCGGCAAUGGACGAAAGUCUGACCGAGCAACGCCGCGUGAGUGAAGAAGGUUUUCGGAUCGUAAAGCUCUGUUGUAAGAGAAGAACGGGUGUGAGAGUGGAAAGUUCACACUGUGACGGUAUCUGACCAGAAAGGGACGGCUAACUACGUG